rfam:Omnitrophica bacterium RIFCSPHIGHO2_02_FTLL_46_11 rifcsphigho2_02_scaffold_5418, whole genome shotgun sequence.
GCGCGAGUGGUGGAAUUGGCAGACACACCAGCUUGAGGGGCUGGCGCCGCAAGGCAUGCAGGUUCAAGUCCUGUCUCGCGCA